rnacentral:rRNA from 1 species
UACGUAGGGUGCAAGCGUUGUCCGGAAUUAUUGGGCGUAAAGAGCUCGUAGGCGGUCUGUCACGUCGGAUGUGAAAAUCCAGGGCUUAACCCUGGACCUGCAUUCGAUACGGGCAGACUAGAGUUCGGUAGGGGAGACUGGAAUUCCUGGUGUAGCGGUGAAAUGCGUAGAGAUGUGGAGGAACACCAGUGGCGAAGGCGGCUUUCUGGUCUGUAACUGACGCUGAGGCGCGAAAGCGUGGGGAGCAAACGGG